CGUAGGGCGGUGCGGGUGAGCUGCUGUCUGCGGCGGCCCUCAGAAAAGCCCGGUAUCUUAAGGAGAAACGAAUCCGUCCGUUGCUGUUGCUGCAGGCCCGCGUUUAUCCGUACCGCUUAGUCGGAAUGUCUGCAAUCUACUUCGCGUUUUUCUCUCGAGAUGUGUUUGCUGAGCAUGCAGUCCGGCUAGCACAGCAUUCCUUGGCUCCAGAUUUGGAUUUCCAAAAGUAGCAUAAACGUAGUAGUGGCUUUUCAAGCACAGUAAUUCGUUUCUUUAACGUAACUGACAGCAUUUACCUACUUCGGCCGCCAAGUGUAAACUAUAAUGCUUUUAAACUCGGUAUUUAUUUAGAAAACCUGUAGGAAUUAUAAACGGAGGAUUCAGAAAAUACGUUCCCUUUGUAUGCAGAGCUCUCCUCAUCCCUUAAAGAAGUUGUGGAGGAACGCAGUGCUGAGGGCUGUGCGAUGCAGAUACCCAGCGGAGCGCUCGACCUGCCGCUGUCAGCAGGGAACGGCCGCGCUCGGGUCGCGUGAAGCCCCUUGUGGAGGGCCGCAGCUGUAACCCAGCAGGAGUCAGGGCAGACACCUCCUGCAACGGUUCUGCUUUAGCCUGCGAUACAGAAGAACAGACACACAAGCUGAUCCUUUGGAAAGAUAAGAAUAGAUACUUUGGAUGCUGGGUCUGGUAAAUCUGCUGCUCUGGGUGGGUUCAAUGUGACUUUAUGGGCGCUUACAGAAGGUGCUGCUUAACUAAACAAACCAAUCCUGACGUGUGAGUAAGACCGCAAGGUAUCUGUUAGCAAUUAAUUCCUGCCGUCCAGAAAAGGCAGUGUGUGUUGUGACUUGGAUACAAGUCUCAUUUAUCAGUUCCCAGGUUAGCUACUUAUAAGUAGUGAUUCUCUCAAUUAAUUGGGUGUAUCUUACAAAGAUACUUGACUUACAAAUUGAAUCUCAGAAGGCUGUGGUUCCAGAGUCGGGGUUUUGGGGGCGAGAUGAGCUUAUGUUUUAUCCAACUGGCCCACAAAGUCCCGCUUUUGGUGGUCACUUUGUUCUGCAAAGGAAACCAAUGCGUUCUGGUCUUACAAUGGACACUAAACUUAGCACUAAGCUACUGCUGCACUCAGUAACGGGCUACUGCACACUUAAAUAUGCAACAAUAUUUCAACUUUAACGUCACCUUCAGCAGUAAAAUGUGGACAGGUAACACUAGCAUCCCCCAAAUUAAACAUGAAAUGGCUUUCUAAGCACUGUUGUAGCUUAUAAAAGGUCUCUGUUUUUUUCUCCAUAAAAACCUAGCAGAAGACAAAGUGAUGUUUCAAAGAGUAGUUGUUUGGCAUAAGUGAACUGGGAGAAAAGAAAAGAUAUUUCUAGCAAAGAGAGACAGCUUAAACCCGCAGAAAAUGGUCCAACCUGAAGGAACAUUUCUGUUGUCCCCUCCACAGUUCCUUUGCUGACAAACUAUGUCAGUUGCACGUCUCUCCCUCUCCAGACAGCCUGUUUCUUCAGUGCGUGCCCAGUGUGUGUGCGUGUGCAUGUGCGUGUGCAUGGUCUGUAUCUUUAAAUCAAUGUGAAGAUGACUAAUUUGUGUACUGAUAAAAGAUGUUAUAGCAUGCUGUGACGAGUAAGUCUGAGCUUGGUAAGGCUAUUCAAGUCUACGCUACUGCUUACAUUUUGAUACCAGCAGCCUAAAGGAUCUAAGCAUAAUUUGUACUUGUAGGUGACUUUUAAAUGAAAUUCUAGUAGGUGUUUAAAGGUUGUUAGUGGAUAAGUUGAGCUUUAUUGUGGCUCCAACUGUAGCACACGUAUAUUGAUGACAGAAUGAAGGACACUAUAAAUUGUACAGUGUGAGAGGCACUUCCAGCACUGACCUACUCAAACUGCGUCCAUGUGAGCACUUCAGACAAGCGUGGCAAUUCAGCUGAAGUUACGCAGCAGUGCAGGGUUAAAAAAAUAAGGUGUUGGUUUGGGACAUAUCAGGUGAUGAUAUGCAGGAUCUGUAUGUUGAAGCAAAUUGAUACUGUGCUGAAUUACUGAUAUUUUUCCAUGGAAUUCUGCUCUUUCACAUUGUAUAGCUAUAUAAUGGCUACACAUAGGAAAUAGGACAUAGCAAAACCUCCGUGCAACACAUUACUCGCUUGUUCAAGACUGAAAUCUGACUUGGGAGAGCUAAGGUCACCAUUGUGCUACUUGUAUGCUUUUUAGCUCCUGUCCUGCGUGGAGUAAUACUGUUCCAGAGCAGCGUUUUUCAGAAGGUUAAGUUUUCAGGAACUGAUUAAGCUGUUGGUUUAUUUUUAUUUUGGAUUUAUAGUGCUUAGUUUGUGAGUACACUGCAGACGUGUCCAGUGUCACAAGUUGUGAGACUCAGGUUUGUUUGGCUCCUGUGGACUCACUGCCAGUAGUCCAAGAACAGAAGAGCAGAGAAUCAGGUACUGGAAAGCAGGCUGAUUGGAAGGUCUGGCUCUCAAGGAAACCUCUCAAGGAAACAAGAGAUCAGCUCUGCUCUGCUGCUCAUGGACUUUUUCCUCAAGGCUCUUCAAUUGAAGCAUGUCUUUUUGUACUGUUUCAGUGAGGCGUGCUUCACAUUUUGUUAAACAGCUAGAUUUGAUUUUUUUUUUCCAGAUAGAUUCUAUCUCGUUCUCUACUGAUGAUAAAGAAAAUGCACAUGUACUCAUUCAAGUGCAAUUAACACAGUUAUAAAGUGUAUAUGACCAUAAGUGGCUACUGAGCACUCUUAAAGAUCAUAGCGAUAGUUCUGUAGGCUUUUCUCACCCAAAAUUGUUCAUCACCUUCUUUCCCAUCACUAAGCCUACAUAAUGAGCCCCUGUUUCUCUCGUGUGCAGUAAAAUGGACAGUUUCUACUGUGAUGGAUAUCACAUGUAGCUGUUAAGCUUUAAAUGUAUAUUUACCUUAUACGUGUUAACCAAAUUAAUCACAAUUAGAAAAAGCCUUGAUUGAUACCCUAAACAUUUAUCCUGCAAAAAUGUGAUCUUUGCUGUGGUGAUCUCCUCAGGGCUUCUGUGCAUGGUGGGGGUGGCCCCAGCACCACUGCUCCUGGAGCGUCCCGCAGUGCCCAGCAUCAGCAAUGGGACAGCCAGGAUCCAUUUGUUUGAAAAGCAAGAAGGAAUUUAGGGAAGAUGAAAAGAAGGCAGUAUAUUCGGAAUCAAAAUUCAUUUUUCUCGAGAUAAAAAGUGUCACAAAGUAUCGAAAAGAUAGUAUUUAGAAAGAUCAACUCCAAUUAUUUAUCACAUUCAUCAUUUAUAAAAUUGAAAGCCCUACUAGUUGUUUUCUAUGUAAAAUAAAUUAAAACUUCAUUUUUAGAAUGACUUUUCAGCAUUUUGAAGCAAAGCUUUAAAAAACAGCUUAUGCACAGUGAAGCAGGAGAGGGUUAUCCGGUGUCUGUCUGCUCACUUUAGAAAUAUGUGGACACAUUACUGGAAGCAGCGAGAUCAGAACCGGGUGGUAUGGCUUGAGGAUUGCUCUGUGGCCUGAGUUCUGAAGCAGGGCCUCAGCAUCUGACAUGCCCUGACCACAAGUUACCACAAGAGUUUUGUGACUGCCCUCCAAUACGGCCAUUGGGAAGGAGAGGGUGGCAGUGACCAGAGUUUGGGAACUCGGGACCUGGCUCCAAGCUGUACCGUAGUACAGGUUGUGAGGUCAGUCAUCCCCCUCUGUGAGGCUGUCUGGAGUUCUUCCAGGGCAGGAAUGCGGGCAGCCGUGGUGUGUUGUGCUGGCUUGCUCUUCCCUCGCAAUUCUAACUGUACGCAUCAGCACUGCUCGCCUGCACAAGGCCUGCUCCACACACCGAAAGAAAAUCUGUUCACAUGCAUCUCACAGAGGUAUCAUCACCUUUUUUUGUCUUGAAAAUUGUAUUUGCUGGUUAUGAAAGAAAAAAAACAGUCACAUUUAAAACAUUUUUUAAAAUAUUAGAGGAAAAACUGCUCUGAUGUGGAAGCUGCACCUGUGGUGGAAGAAGUGGAAUAAAAGCGGUUCUAUUCGACGUAUAAAGCUGCUUCAGAACGUGCAGCUUAAGAGUACAGCAUUCUGGUGAAAUGGAGGACUUUAAGUGAGUUUAAGUCACCGCUUGCCCUGUUCUCAGUGCAAAUAACUAAAUAACUCUUUGCAAGGUAAUAUGCUUUUUUCCUCAAGUGAUGCAAACAUUUGGGGAAUUUGGUAAAUGCACAGGCAUUGAAAAAAGAACAGAGAAUUGACUUUUCUGCCUUUGUCAGAGUGUGCCAGCAGUUCUGCCGUGGGGCCGGGCCGGUCCUGUCGGUGGCUGCUGGGUGCACAUCUUUACUGGUAAUCGUUUUAAUAGAUUCGUGGCCUUUCCUUACAAGCUGACAUAAUGCAGGAGCAAGAGAUCCAUGUCUGAAAGUGACAGUUUUGUAGGUCGGGAGAAAUAAAGAAAGACAAAAUGUGUUCUGUCAUCUACGACAGGACACGUGUACACGCUUUUUGGAAAGGCUGAGAAAAGGCACUGCAGGAUGUUCCGGGAUCAGUAAUAGAAUGCAGUGAUUUUACUGCUGGGAUAUUUCUAUUUGUUAUCUAUAAAUUCUGUUGGAAACAUCAGUCUGUAGAGUCAUCAGAACCUAAGUUUUUACUUUGUUGUUGCUGCUGUCCAUAUAAAAGUUUUCUUUUGCAACAAAAGGCCUCCUUGAAAGCAGGCAAGGCCUGGCAGCUGGCACAUGGGUGCUGCUGGAAGCCACCGGAGCUGCAUCAACACCAAAUUCAGGCAAGAUCACAGUAAUGUUUCUGGAACAUGGGUACAGGAACAAAGACCGAAUGGAUUACAUAGCAUGGCAUAUUAAAUAACAUAUAAGCAAUUGGUUACUGUUUUUUUUUUUGUUUGUUUGUUUGUUUGUUUUCCCCAACAAUAUUGUAUUCUAUAUAUUAUGCUCCACAGAUCCAUUGAAGAAUAUGCCCACUAAGUGGUAGUUAGUGUGUAGUAGUGGUAGUAGUUAAUUACUUUAAAAGAGACUUUUCAUUAGGCUUGUUGAUUUGAAUAGGCAUAACAGUUCCAGUGUGCUGCUUUGCUAUGGAGAUUUGUAAAUAUGCAAUAUGCAGUCUUAACCAAAGGGGGAUUCCUCUAUUUGUUUGUACUCUGAGCAGACUUUCUCUAUGUAUGGGAAAUUGCUCACAUGACUACACAUAAAAUAUAUUGAAAUGCUGUAAAACAAAACGUAACAGUUGUAUGACUUUAUUAUGUACUCCCUUUUCCUACAAACCUAACUUUGCACCGUCACUUGAAGCAAAUCCUUAGAAAACAGAGAUGCAGGUCAACUAUUCCUGUUGAUCAUUCUGCUUUGUUUUGAAAUCCUGGAUAGGUGAAAGAACAAAAAUUGCCCUACAAUUCUGUGUAGUUCCUCCUCCUAGCUUUCCAGUACUAACAGUGUUUUCAAGGGAACUUUGUCAGAAUUCACUUUGGUGGAUGGACAGAACCGAUUAAUGCAGCCCAGGUGUGUGAGCUAGCGAUUGUUUGGAAAACUACUGUUUUCCUAUGGACUGGGCUCAGGAAAUGCUGAAAUCCUGAAGUAUUGUUGGAAAAGUGUUUUAACAAAAAAAAAAAAAAAUUGCUUUAUAGUUUCAUUCUCAAUGUUCCACAGAAUUCACCACUUCCUGCAUGGCUCUUUACCGCAGGGAAAAUGAGGGACUUUUGGGGGCAGAUGUGUUUCCAUUACACUAUCAUAAUGCCCCUAAAAAUCCUUAUUGCUCUUGCAGUAUUCUUCUGUGUUGCUGGGCCUGGUGUGAGCUACUUGAAGACCUAGCUUCUAAGUACAGCUUCUCUCUAAAAACACUUUCAAAGAGCAACUGAUUUUCUUUUAUUUACCUUAUUUUUGGUUGCGUUUAAUGUUGCUUAAAAUGUAAUUGCAAGAUAUGCCACCACCUGUUGAUAAACGAAUGUCAUUAAGUCAUAAAUGGGAGGGACAUGCUGAUAACUGCACGGUACCUAGCAAAAGGAACAUAUUUUGGCAUAAGGGUGAGUUGCACUCUGCUGGUGCAAUGAGCGUGUUUUUAACUUAAGAAUUCAGUAUGUGUGUCUAAAAAUGUGACACAGAUUUUUCACAGAUUUGAAUGACUUUGUUAUAGUGGACCUCACUCAGAAUGUUAACUGCUUUUAGGACCAUACUUCAGGCUUUUAAUCAAAUUAAAAGAUCUGCCCAGUAUUUUUAGUUAGAUUAAAGGCAUGCACACUCCAAUAUUCAAAUCACAUCCCCACACAGUCCCCAAAUAAAGAAAUUGAAGAUGAAACCUAGAAGAGACACUGUGAGUGCUCAGCGACAGUGUACUUUUUGCUCAGGAGGUGUUUGUGUGGGCAGGAGGAAGGGAUGCUGCUGGCCCUGCUGGGCGAUGCUGAGUCCACACUCCUCCUCAGGCACAGUUUAUUCCUGGUAGGCAGCAGAGUACUCAAAUUCUGCAAUUUUCCACAGUUUUCUUGAUGGAAAGGCAGAACACAUAAAUGUAAAUACCGUGUUUUUGUCUGGGCAUUGCAGCACAGUAUAUCAUCACUUCACAUGUGCAGUGCUAGUAGCAUUUAUUUCAGUAGCCACAUGUAGGGCUGGGUUGUGUAAAACGUAUUCUUGACUUCACUAACUAGCUUAGAAGAAAUAAUGAAUAUACUGCAUCACUUUGUCCCUUUGUCAGUGCCAAAUAUCUUCAAAGAGCCUUUAGAAUACUUGGUAACGUAGGAAAGAAACUAGAUUCACACACCUCUCCCCCAUUUUAUACUGUUCUAACCCCAAGGAAUUUUUCUUCUUCGUUUUCCUGAAGAAGUGUUUCUCAUUUUUUCAGCGGGAAAAUCUUACAGGUUAAGUCAUAUCCUGUAGGUCACAAGGGGAGCUAGCUGUUAUGACCAGAACCCCAAACCCUUGAUGCCCAGGUAGAUGCUGCAAUAAGAAAACCACUGUCUUGAAGGACUGAAUGAGCUGUGUUGCACAGUAUUGUGCUCACAGGUCAAAACAUGCUUACAUAUCCAUUCCAACGUGGAAAAGCAUUUCAGUAGCGUGUCCAGGCAGAAAGCAGUAGAAAAGCUAGACAUUGCAUUAAUUCUAAAUGUUCCUAUCACUACCUCUGUGUUUCUAUUUGGCUUGUUGAUUACAAAGUGAUUCCUGGCACCUUCUAACGUGAGUGAAAGGUGCUGGCUUGAGGCUUAUGCAGCUCUGAAAAUGACCAAAAGCACUUAUAAAGUAUUAGAUAACUAAAUUAUUAAUAUUAUGAAUAAAGGGGUUUGUUCAGUAAACUUUUAAUUUCCAAGUAAUGCUCCAAAAGACUCUGUGGCUGAUGUGUUAAAAACGUGUGAGACUGCACAGAUUCUGUCAUGUUCUGCAGUAUUAAAGAUCUGCAGAGGGAUUACUCCCAGAGCUACAAUUUUUAUCACCUUUAUAUAAAACAGACUUAAUGGGAAAAGACUGGGAUUCUAAUUAUUUUUUAAGAGUCUUCUGGGGAACUGUGCUUGUGACAAUACUAUAUAAAGAGCAGUGCAAUAGUUUUGAGCAUUAAAGCUGAUCUGAUUUUACAUUUGUUCUAUGUUAUUUUCUCAUGUGACACAUAAACUUUUAAGAAUAUCAGAAAAAAUGUGUUUUUUAACAGAAGCCAUUUUUCAUACAACUGUUUGGAGAUGCAGCCUGUAGAUUUCAACAGCUGAUUCUUACAUACACACAUACUUAGAGUCAGAGUCUUUAGACUGUAGCAAAAUUAGGAUUUUCCCUGAAAUGUGCAUAUGUAAAAUGUGUUUAUCACAUUACAUCGCUGUCAAGAAAAAUACUUCUUCAGAGCUAGCAGUCCUGAGAAUAAAUUUAAGGAGGGGAAUCAAGAUACAGUGCAGUGCACUGCUGCACCUGCAUCGCAGAAGAGCUGCUCAGGAGAGCUAAGGUAUGUCAUGUAGGCACUUCCACAUCCCAGGGAGGUGCCAAGGGCCUUCGGUGGGAUGAGGCAAGGUGAGCUACUGCAUGCACUUUGCUAGGCACAGUGAGGAGUUGCAGCCAGCAGCUCCCUGCAGAACGCUGAUUCCUGUCAUUUGGGGCAGCGGCUCAGGGCAAGUCCGCUCUGGCUUUAACCACAAUAUCUUCCCAUACCAGCUUUAUCCCUAUCUCCUCCUUUGCUGAUUAUCCUGUUAAUAAACAGAAACUUCCAAGAAUUAAAAAAAAAAAAAAAAAAAAACCAUAAGGUUGCUGUUUCAAGGCACUCCUGCCAGAAAGAAGACAGCCACAGCUGCAAUUUACUGAUAACGUACCUUGUGCUAACAUCCCACUAUGGCAUGCAUGCGUGAAAAAGCUACACCAAUUAGUGAAUUCAAGUCUCUUGAUUUUCUCCAAAAGCAGGACACUCAGUACAGUGUCCUGAAACACAGAUGCUCAUACAGUGCAGGGGGGAAUGAAUGCCUGCCCUUGCUGGGGCUGUGCAAUGCUUUGGCACUGCAGCAAGUGCUCUGUGAACGUGGUGGGGGCUGGAGGGCACCAGUCCAGUGUUACCGUUGUUUGGUGGGUCUGGUUAUGUUGAUUUUUUAUCAGAAGUGACCUGCAAGCAGGCAAGAAAUGGAGAGCUGCUGCACUGUGUUUCUGCUUGCCUAUAUCCCUAAGAAAACGUCCCUGGUCAGUGUUAAUUCUGCACCAUAUGUAACAAUACCUGUAACAGCAAGUUUAUCUUAUCUUAAAAGUUAACUUUUCAAGUGCAGCGUAAUAGUGGAUAGCAUUAUCAUUUACGUGUAGGACAUAUUCUCACUUCUUUUUAUCAAUAUCACAGCAAAGAGGAAAGAGUACUUUCCUGUUUCACCUAUGAAACACUGAACAACACUUCUGUUUUUCACACCAGCACAUCUAAAUGCAGUAGGGGAUAGGGACUUUGUUUUGUCAUUCUGCAGAAUGCUGACGUAUGUGUUUGGCAUUCAGGUGUUAGAAAAACUGGAAAGAACAAAGGAUAAUUUGCAUGUCUUUUGGAUUUUCUUUUUCUUCAAGCUGUAGCUAUUCAUUAGCAAUCUUUAGCAUUGGAGUUUAGAAAAUGUUGUGCUUACUCAUAUAAAAAAAGACAUAGGAAUGAAAAACAGAACAGCACAAACUGGAGUCCUGUUAGGCUGCAGGCCACUGCCAGGGUCUUUCUGCAGGAGCUUUCUGUUCUGCUGAUUGCUUUGAGUGGGGCAAAAAGAUAAACAUUUUCUUGUGGCAAAUGCUGCCACACGUGACAAGUUGAUAUGCAGUAUCAAGAGUUGUACCAGGGGCUUAUUAGUUCACUCGAAUAAGACGGAAAUGCGAGGAAAAGUUUUGUGCAGCUGAAAAAUGAAAAAUAAUUCGUCAGUGCCCAAAUUGAUCUGCUGAAAAAAGACAUUUUUUGGCCUCAGUAACCAGAGCUUUCACUGCUAUGGACACUUUAUCUGUUGUCCUCAAUGAAUCGGCCUCCUUUGUACACACUACACCACUAUGGCUGUGGUAUGUGUUUUCGGCUGGUGCAGAUAGAGGAAUAUAAAUUCUAUACUGAUACGCAUAAGCAACUAUGCUACGCACAGGAUACAGUAAGCAGAAUUUGACUAGUCACUUCAUUAGAUGAAAAAUAAGCAUUUUCUGCUGUUUGUGCAGUGUCCACUUUGCGGACACUGGGGCCAUGUUUCCAUGUUUUUGCCUUUUCUAUUGAAAAUUAGGUACCGUAUUUGGAUAUGGCACAGAAGAGGUGCGUUCUGCUGCACACCUCUGUCCCGUGCUCCCUAAGUCCUUUCCUGACUGUUUUUGUUACACGGGUAUACACACCUUGAAACAGACUGUGUUUGUAUUGACAUUGUCACUAACUCUGUAUUUGAACUAAAAUUAGCAAAAAAUAUGUGAUUAGAGAUCCUGCCAUAUAUAUACAUACAUAUAUUCCCUUACAUUCUCAUAAUGGUACACAGCAUGAUAGAACAAGGAGAAACAAAGAGAGAAUGCACAGAGAUUCAUUUUGCGCUGGGCUGUUGGCAGAAAUCUGAGAAACUGUGGCUGUCCUGGCAGCAUCCCAUCCUUCUUUCACCAAGGGGGGCAAAAGGAGUGUCCAGGAUGCAUCUCUAAAGGUCUGCUUCCACUUCUCACCAAGGCAUGGUGCACUGCUGAAACUGAAGGAAAAUUUUUAAAGAUUUAGCCUGUAAUUUCUGAAACUGUUUAAAGUAACGUUGUAUGGAAACUGACUUUCUUAAUGCAAUUUGUCUACUUUUUCUCCAAACAUCACAGAAGAGAAUUAAAAUUUAAAUGCACUGAUAUGUUUUACAGAAGAUCAAACAUUACUGUUAUUUGAGUAGUUUCUAGGAGCAGUGAUGGAAACUGCUUUAUGUACUGCAAUGAUUUAUACUUUUUUGUUGUACAAUUUGUUUAAUUCCCACUGCAACUCAACAGGAUUACAAAGGCAUGUAUGAAUAAACAUGAAUUUGAGAUGUUGCAACUGAGUGCAGGAACAUAACGAUGGUAAUUUUUCCCUGAAGAAAUCAGAUCAGAAGCUUUAAAUGUACAUUUUCCUCAACAGAACAGUUGGAUGUUAUCAAAAUUACUACUGUGCCUACAUGUGUCCCUUGCAGCAUCAUUCCCUCAUCACUGAUUUGCCAGCACAGCACUACCCAGAAAGGAGUUUGCUGUUACCUGCCUAUGCAGUCCCCACAAAAGCUGCUGCUGAAAAUUCUCUCCGUACCUAUCAGAUGUUUCUGCACUGUGAAUGCUAAGGAAAUGCUAAGUAAUUUGACUGCAUGAUUUUUAAAGAAACCAACAGAAAAAUCAGAUUUACACAAUGAUUACAGUUCUGCUUGCUAAUAUUGAUCCUCCCUUUAAGGGAAAUUAAUGCAAAACAAGACUGGAGUUAUAAUGCACCAAUAAUGUUUUGCUUGUCUCAAAAAGUAAUGAUAGCUAGUGCUUUUGUAUCUUCUAUUUCCUUAUGAUCUAUUAAAUAUAAGUAGUUAAAACCCUAAAAUAAGAAUAAAGAGAGAUGACAGAGGUGGCAAGGCACCUAGAUGUGGAUCUAAAUAUAACCAAGGUUGUUUAUAUCAGUGAGCUCUGCCAAAGGAUAUGCGUUUAUGCAACUUUCUUGGUCGGGGAGUCAGUUUGCAAUGCUCCCAUGUGUUGUAUCCUUUAUUGCUCAUAUUUCAAAGGUAAUUUUUGCAAGAUUCUAAACAAAUAAAUAAAAAGCUAAAUUAUUAUCUCAGUUGUAGAAAUGGAGAAACUAUAAUAUUGAAGUUGACUGACUCUGUCAAGUAAAUGUUUAUUAUUAGAAAUAGGAUUCGAUUUCAUGUCAUCACUCCAAAUCUCACACUUCUUGCACUGGUGACCUACCAUAAAGAAAUACACGUUAAUGCAAUCAUUUUGAAGAGAUCGAUACCCAGGGAGGAGCUGUUUCCUGAAUUACCAGGUGAACGACUAAACAUUUCCUAAGGAUCACCCAAGACACUGAAGACAAAAUAUCUAUCGUUUUUUGUUACAGUUCAUAUUUCUGCUGCUUCUCAGACACGCUGUGAUUCAUCUCUGAGGAACACUUCACAUACUGUAGUUUAUUUUUCUAUCACGACACUCACAAUUUGCCAAAACUGCCAUUUCCCUUAUGCUGUUUGAGCAUUGCUAGCUCUGCAAUCAAAUGUAUACUGUCUGUUUCCAUCCCUGCUCUCUGUCUCAAUUAUUAUUUUUGUGAAGAUAAGAAAAUCCCAUUUUUACCAGUGGAGAGCCAGGCUGCUUAGGUCACAAGAUUCUCUUGGCUUAAUCCUUGAGUAUGAAUCACGAACUUUCCCUAAGAAGUACUGGCAUUCUUCAGAUGAUCAAGCCAGCUUACUAAGGCUUCCAGAGCUUUCCGCAUUAGCGAUCACCAUGUUUAAAGUAUCAAAAGCAGUAGCUGAUUAAGAAUUAAACUGUUUAUUCUUACUUUUCCCAUUUCCUCUGUUUCUAACUCUUAUGUGGCUUGGUACUGUAAACAGCUGUAAUGCAACUCAGUUAAAAGAAGUAAUAUGAAAAUAUGAAAGCUAUGAUGAAAGAGAUAUAUCAGACAAAAAUAUUUGUGUGAAAUACAAGAAACAGAGUUACAUUUUCUGCAGUACAUGGCUCAAAAAUAAUCUGCAUAUGUACACAUGGCUCCAGUUAACAAAAAGCAUUUUUCUCACAUUUAAUAUCAGAAAUGUUGGAGGUAGCCAAACAUCUAUUCUGCAGAUGAUUUACAACCCUUGCAGAAAAAAAAAACGUGCACUAUUGAGACAUCAUAGUAAAUGUCAUAUAAUUCAAUAAGCGUUAUGUGAAGAAAUAGAUAAAAUGAAGAUACACCCAAAAAAUAUUUCUUGAGAUAUGAAGGUGGAAACAGAAUAUUCAUUCCAGAUGCAGAACACAGAAAAUUGCUGAGAUAGGACUGGACUCUAGUAAGCAUGUAGCCCUGGAAACAUGAGGGUCCUGGGCAAUUCAGGACAGGUGUUACAUUCCUGCACCACAUUCAAGUAUGAGAUCUGACAAAAGUAGACUGUUCACUUUGGCUACCAAUGAGAUUUUUCUAACUUUUACCAGGAAUAGUACUUCUUCAUAAAUGUGGAGUAAACUAUUUGAACAACAAUUCUUUCUUGUAUUAUUUCCAGAUUUGGUGAAAAACAUUAUAACAACUAAUGAAUACAUUAUACAGUCAUGCAAACUUCAAACUGA
ensembl:lncRNA